rnacentral:rRNA from 1 species
UACGUAGGUGGCAAGCGUUGUCCGGAUUUACUGGGUGUAAAGGGCGUGCAGCCGGAGAGGCAAGUCAGAUGUGAAAUCCGCGGGCUCAACCCGCGAACUGCAUUUGAAACUGCUUCCCUUGAGUAUCGGAGAGGUAACCGGAAUUCCUAGUGUAGCGGUGAAAUGCGUAGAUAUUAGGAAGAACACCAGUGGCGAAGGCGGGUUACUGGACGACAACUGACGGUGAGGCGCGAAAGCGUG